AUGAUGAACACAAAGAGAAAGAGGAGAGGCACCUGAGAGAUGUUCUCUAGGCCGUUCAGAAAACAUGGAGCUGUUCCUUUGGCUAUAUGUAUGCAAAUCUAUAAGAAAUGUCAUAUUGUAGACAUCAAGGGAAUGGGUACUGUUCAAAAAGGAAUGUCCCACAAGUGUUACCACCACAAAACUGGAAGAGUCUAUAACGUUAUCCAGCAUGCUGCUGGCAUUGUUGUAAAGAAACAAGUUAAGGGCAAGAUUCUUGCCAAGAGAAUCAAUGUGUGCGAGAAUCAACGUGCAUAUUGAGCACAUUAAGCAUUCUAGGAGCCGAGGUAGCUUUCUGAAACACAUGGAGGAAAAUGAUCAGAAAAAGGAAACCAAAGGGAAAGUGUCAGCAUGCUCCACCCAGAGAAGUGCACUCUGAGAACCAAUAGGAAGGAGCCUGAACUGCUGGAGCCUCUUCCCUGUGAAUUCAUGGCAUAA
rnacentral:lncRNA from 1 species